rnacentral:rRNA from 1 species
CUCAGGAUGAACGCUGGCGGCGUGCCUAAUACAUGCAAGUCGAGCGAACAGAUGAGAAGCUUGCUUCUCUGAUGUUAGCGGCGGACGGGUGAGUAACACGUGGGUAACCUACCUAUAAGACUGGGAUAACUCCGGGAAACCGGGGCUAAUACCGGAUAAUAUUUUGAACCGCAUGGUUCAAUAGUGAAAGACGGUUUCGGCUGUCACUUAUAGAUGGACCCGCGCCGUAUUAGCUAGUUGGUAAGGUAACGGCUUACCAAGGCGACGAUACGUAGCCGACCUGAGAGGGUGAUCGGCCACACUGGAACUGAGACACGGUCCAGACUCCUACGGGAGGC